CCCACCCCCCCUAUAGCCACUCGUGCUGUUUGUGCAGCGGGCGCUGUGCCACGCUGUUUGCCCACACCCAGCGAGCAAACACAAAGGUGGGGGGGGCUCACCACCACCCCCCCUCCACGUACACACAUACGCACUAAGACCUCUGCUGUGCCUGGAAAUGGGGAUCCCGUGCCUCCAGACCCCCCCCCACCAGCACCCUUAGGCCUUAUGCCCCCCCAAACGCAGACACCCCCCCUCCCCCCUUUGGAUGGGAUCCUGCUUUGAGGCCGGUUCCAUUGCCAGCAAAUUGAUAACCCUUAGUGGCACUGGACCCCCAUCAGCGACUUGUGGUGGGGGGGUCCUGAGUUGUGUGCCCCCCACUCCAGCUGUGGGGCAGAACUAAGAUCUCCCACCACGGAGCCACCCCCCCCUCCCAGGAUGGAAGCUUCACCUUGCGGCACCAUCCUCCAUAGGAUGGCAGACCCACCUUGGUGCACAGUUCACCCCAGAAUGACCCUGGGUGAUACCAGACCCUAUCAGUGGCUCUGGGGGACCCCCGUGAUGUGUGCCCACUUUCCAGUGCUGGGAAAUCCCCCCCCACCACGGAUCCACCACUCCCAGUUUAGAGCUCCCAGCUUUGGGGGCACACAGUGGUGCUGGAUCUCAUCAGUGGCUCUGAGGGACCCGUGCCCCCCACCCCGAGAUGUGUUUCCCCCCCUCCAGCUGUGUUCUGUCCCCAGGUGUGCGGCGUGGCCCUGGUGGCCAUUGGCAUCUAUGCUCACCUGGCCCUCAACCAGGCUCUGGUGGCAGGCAGCAACUCAGCAGCCAGCAGCCCCGUGGCCAUCAUGGUGGUGGGCAUCAUCAUCUUCUUCGUUUCCUUCUUCGGCUGCUGCGGGGCCUGGAAGGAGAGCUACUGCAUGGUCACCACGUUUGCUGUUCUGCUCAGCAUCAUCUUCCUGGUGGAGAUCGCCGCUGCCAUCGCUGGUUACGUCUUCAAGGAUAAGGUCCGCUCAGUGCUGGAGGAGGGGCUGUGGGACACCAUGCGCAAAUACGGCGAGGAUGUGCCACUGACAGAGGCAGUGGACAAACUGCAGGAGGAUUUCCACUGCUGUGGUUCCAACAACUACACGGACUGGUCCACCCUCGAGAGGUUCCGUGUUAAUAACACUGUGCCACGCUCCUGCUGCCGUGUCAACACCACCAACUGCAAUGUGAACCCCACCACCAGCACCAUCUAUGUAGAGGUGAGACUCCCAACCCCAUUCUGAGGACCCCCGUGCUCAGCCCCCAGCGCUGCGUGGUGCUGAACACCCCCCCCCC
rnacentral:lncRNA from 1 species